rnacentral:rRNA from 1 species
AUGUGUGUCCCGAAGGAGAGGGGAGGUAUGGGAUUCAGAGACUUGCACUGCUUUAAUAUGGCACUUCUAGCUAAACAAUGUUGGAGACUUUUGGCUGAACCAGAAUCACUUUGUGCUAGAGUUUUGAAAGCCAAGCACUUCCCUGAUGGCGACCUUCUUAAUUGCAAUCUUAAGAAGGGUAGUUCUUACACAUGGCAGAGUCUAUGGAGUGGAAUUCAAACUUUUAAAAAAGGGCAUAUAUGGAGGGUAGGGGACGGCUCUCAAAUAAAUAUAUGGGAGGAUCCAUGGAUCCCAAGUAGUCCUACAAGGAGAGUAAUGACACCGAGAGGCAAUAUUGUUAUCACAAGAGUUUCUGAAUUAAUAGAUGAAGAGAAUAGAGUUUGGGAUGAGCAGUUGCUUAAUGAAUUGUUUUAGCCUAUUGAUGUGCAACGUAUUCUGAACAUUCCCUUGGCCCUGGGAAUGAUGAGUGAUUUUGUCUCUUGGCACUUCAAUAAGAAUGGUAUUUUCUCUGUAAGGUCAGCUUAUUAUGAAGAAUGGGAACACCAACAUGGACGAAAGUUGAGAAUGACAAACUCAGUUCAAUCCUCAAGUACUAGUCCUAUUUGGAGAACCAUUUGGAAAUUAUGUGUGCCGGCCAAGAUAAAAAUUCAUGCGGGGAGAGCUUUACUUGGAGCUAUCCCUUGCAUGGGGGUUCUAGCUAACAGACAUAUGAUUACUAGCUCGCAGUGUCCUCUCUGUACUGCUGAUUGUGAAAGUAUCAAACAUGCCCUCUUCUUAUGCCCUAGGGUCCAGGAAGUAUGGCGCAUCCUGGGGCUGGGACAUAUGGUAAUUGAAGUAUGUGCUGCUGCAGAUUGUGAAUUUAUUUUUGUCCAGGAGCAGUUUGCAGCCUUUGAUGUCAGGGGUCCAACGUAA